AACGUAGGUGGCAAGCGUUAAUCGGAAUUACUGGGCGUAAAGCGUGCGCAGGCGGUCUGUUAAGACCGAUGUGAAAUCCCCGGGCUUAACCUGGGAACUGCAUUGGUGACUGGCAGGCUUUGAGUGUGGCAGAGGGAGGUAGAAUUCCACGUGUAGCAGUGAAAUGCGUAGAGAUGUGGAGGAAUACCGAUGGCGAAGGCAGCCUCCUGGGCCAACACUGACGCUCAUGCACGAAAGCGUGGGUAGCGAAUGGG
rnacentral:rRNA from 1 species